GAUGAACGCUGGCGGCGUGCCUAAUACAUGCAAGUCGAGCGAACAGACGAGGAGCUUGCUCCUCCGACGUUAGCGGCGGACGGGUGCUUAACACGUGGAUAACCUACCUAUAAGACUGGGAUAACUUCGGGAAACCGGAGCUAAUACCGGAUAAUAUAUUGACCCGCAUGGUUCAAUAGUUAAAUUCGCUUUUGCUUUCACUUAUAGAUGGAUCCGCGCCGCAUUAGCUAGUGGGUAAGGUAACGGCUUACCAAGGCAACGAUGCGUAGCCGACCUGAGAGGGAGAUCGCAUACACUGGAAGUGAGGCACGGUCCAGACUCCUACAGGAGGCAGCAGUAGGGAAUCUUCCGGAAUGGGGGAAAGGCUGAUAGUGCACAGUCGCGUGAGUGAUGAAGCUCUUCGGCUCGGAAAACUAUGUUAUUAGGGAAGAACAAAAGCGUAAGUAACUAUGCACGUCUUGACGGUACCUAGUGAAAAAGCCACGGCUAACUACGUG
rnacentral:rRNA from 1 species